rnacentral:rRNA from 1 species
UACAGAAGUGGCAAGCGUUGUUCGGAAUUACUGGGCGUAAAGGGCGCGUAGGCGGCCUUCUAAGUCAGACGUGAAAUCCCCCGGCUUAACCUGGGAACUGCGUCUGAUACUGGGAGGCUUGAGUAUGGGAGAGGGAUGUAGAAUUCCAGGUGUAGCGGUGAAAUGCGUAGAUAUCUGGAGGAAUACCGGUGGCGAAGGCGGCCCCCUGGGCCGCUCCUGACGCUGAGACGCGAAGGCGCGGGGAGCGAACGGG